AGAGUUUGAUCAUGGCUCAGAUUGAACGCUGGCGGCAGGCUUAACACAUGCAAGUCGAACGGUAACAGAACUAGCUUGCUAGUUGCUGACGAGUGGCGGACGGGUGAGUAACGCGUAGGAAUCUACCGAAUAGUGGGGGACAACAGUUGGAAACGGCUGCUAAUACCGCAUACGCCCUACGGGGGAAAGGAGGGGAUCUUCGGACCUUUCGCUAUUUGAUGANCCUGCGUGAGAUUAGUUAGUUGGUGGGGUAAUGGCUCACCAAGGCGACGAUCUCUAGCUGGUCUGAGAGGAUGAUCAGCCACACUGGGACUGAGACACGGCCCAGACUCCUACNGNAGCCACCAGUGGGGAAUAUUGCACAAUGGGGGAAACCCUGAUGCAGCCAUGCCGCGUGUGUGAAGAAG
rnacentral:rRNA from 1 species